GGGCGCGUAGCUCAGCGGUAGAGCACACCCUUCACACGGGUGGGGUCACAGGUUCAAUCCCUGUCGCGUCCACCA
rnacentral:tRNA from 1 species